UGGCUCAGAGGUUAAGAGCACUGGUCCUCUUCCAGAGGACCUGGGUUCAAUUCCCAG
rnacentral:tRNA from 1 species